GGAGGAGUGAGCCGAAUGGUAAGGCAGCGGCCUGCUAAGCCGCGCCCUGCGAAAGCGGGGCUUGUGGGUUCGAUUCCCACCUCCUCCGCUA
rnacentral:tRNA from 1 species